AAUGCUCACUAACAGGGAUGUAAACAGAUUCGUGAACAACAUGUGAGAGAAAUAAGCUUUUUGUGCGUAUGAACAUUUCUGGGAACUUUUAUUUCAGCUCAUGAAACAUGGGACCAACACUUCGCAUGUUGCGUUUAUAUUUUUGUUCAAUGUAGUUUUUCCUUCCAAAAAGUGGAACUUGUUUCGUUGAUGGCAAUUAGCUGCUAAUACCUGUGAGAUUUUCCAUCUGCUCUGCUCUACCUCAUGCUGCUUCCUUCCAGGCUCCACAGUGAACAGACUAUUAAUGAUGGGUGGCGAACACAGAGACAUCCUUCCAUGCAGGCAGACAUCCAUCCGCCAUAUUGGUUUUCCUCCUUCCUGUUUAUAUUGAACUUGACCUCUGAACCCUGACCUCCUGCAUAAUCUUGGAUCCACACCUCCCCAGCCCCCCCUCCAUGUGUGUGUGUGUCUGUGUGUGUGAGAAGGAGAGAGAGAAAUAAAUAUACUCCUGUAAAGUAACAGAGGUCUGUUGUUAUCUAACUAUAUUUUAGGAUCGCCUCCUGCAAAUUCUGACUGAAUGAUUCUUGAAGGACACACACCAAUCGGGUUAAUACGAUGACAGACAAGUAAUAUCAUUUCCACUCCCAGGCUCUGGUCCAGUGAGUGUCAGGCUGCUGAAGGAGUGUCUGGCUGCCUGGCUGCCUGUGUGAGGGCCAGGGUUAGACAUGAGGCGAGCUGGCAGCAGGAGAGAGAGGGGAGUCACAAGGUUGCCACCCAGAGCAGUAGACUUGCUUGUCUCAGCAGAGUAAACAUCACCCCUCGUCUGCACACAGUAAUAGCUAACAGAGAAGGACGUGGACAGAAACACUAUGAGGAGGAUAGGGACUGGCUGCUGGCUCUGUCUAGCACAGCAGGCCGCAUGGCACACAGGCAUUCCUUUUUUAUCUUCUCCUUCCCAGUCCCCCUAAAAACAAGCAAUGAGUCUCCACCCUUGUGUAAAGCAGUGGGCGCAGGCAUUACCAUAGUCAAAGACACACACACGCACACAC